rnacentral:rRNA from 1 species
AACACAUGCAAGUCGAACGGUAACGCGGAGAGCUUGCUCUCUGGCGACGAGUGGCGGACGGGUGAGUAAUACUUAGGAAUCUACCCAGUAGUGGGGGACAACAUUCGGAAACGGAUGCUAAUACCGCAUACGCACUACGGUGGAAAGUGGGGGACCUUCGGGCCUCACGCUAUUGGAUGAGCCUAAGUCGGAUUAGCUAGUUGGUGAGGUAAGAGCUCACCAAGGCGACGAUCUCUAGCUGGUCUGAGAGGAUGAUCAGCCACACUGGAACUGAGACACGGUCCAGACUCCUACGGGAGGCAGCAGUGGGGAAUAUUGGACAAUGGGCGCAAGCCUGAUCCAGCAAUGCCGCGUGUGUGAAGAAGGCCUGCGGGUUGUAAAGCACUUUCAGUAGAGAAGAAAAGCCUAGGGUUAAUACCCCUGAGUCUUGACGUUACCUACAGAAGAAGCACCGGCUAACUCCGUG